UUCGAUUCUUCCCAAAUCUCCAAAACCCCACCCCUUCGACUCUCGCCCGCGUCGCUGCCCGCCGCCGUACUUCGGUGCCUCGUUCUUCUCGUCUAAAGACUACCUCCGCCGGCCUCCUCUGCCAGGUGCUUCAUCCUGACAGGCCGUCGCCUUGCCCUCGGUGGGAUUAUGAGCGACCACGAGUCGAGAAGCGGCGGCGAGGAAUCCCUUGCCCUGCCCCUAACGAGGGACUCUCCUCAGCUCGUGGCCUUGUUGAAAGAGAUGAAGGAUGGGUUGGAUGUCGUGAGGAGCAAACUGGACGUCCUCACAUAGAAGGCGUGCAUACAGUAAUAUUCAUGUAUGCACGCACACUGCGCGUGCUUACUUGAUCUUUGUUUUUCCCGACUCCCACAAAAUAGUGCCCGAUGCUUCUCUUCCGACGCUCCUGUCGACGGCCACCGAGGAUGAGAGAUCCCGACGGUGGCCACUGUCGAGACGAAGACGACCAAGCACGAUCUCCAGCUCAGGUAAGGGCGACUCCCCGACCGAUGUCGCGUUCGCCAUCUCUCUCUCGUUGUCUUGACUCUCGAGCGCCCACUUCUUGAUCGUUACCAUUACCUGGGAAUUAGGGUAUUGGGAUGAUGAUCAACUAGUUCUACUAGGUCUGAUGAUGUUCUGUGGUUUCUUUCGACGCUACCUGUCUGUCUGCGUGCAUUGCCAAGUUAAUCGAGAAGGAGACGUCUCGGUAGACAAAACAUUUGACAUUGUUGAUGUCUAUUUAUUGUUGAAAAGGUGUUCCUCUGGUUUUUAUUGCAAAUCAGCAGAAAUUUGGUUUCCUGAAUCCCAAAUCGCAGAUAUAUACCUGUUGAAUAGAAAGAACGGCAAGAAAAGGGUCUGUUGUAGGUUAAUGAGUAAGGGGAAACAUGAACCGGCAGCAGCAUACUUAUGAGAGAGACAGGAGAGAACAAAAAGCAGAAUAGAGAGAGAAAAAGUAGAUCUUCGGCCACCACAACGCACAUCACAUGGAGGAAAAAACUUAGUUUGACUAAUUCAUUCAUCCCCAAUGACUUAAUAACUUCCUCCAAUCCAAUCUGUAUUCACAAUAGGGUUCUUGAUCCAAUCCUAAACCCAGAAAGAAGAAUACAAAUCACUUCAAACCCCUAAAAUCAUGUUUAUUAGAAGUAAACCUUGAUGAUUAAUGUUCCUGCCAUUGACAACGAUGAUCUUGAUUCACUUUUGUAGAUAUUGUUCUUACCUUAAUGAGAAUUCUAGCUUAUCAAUGGGUUUCUAUGGUAUCUUUCUAGAGUUCUGUAACCUCAACCUUGGGUGAUACAGCAUGAAGACACACUUUGGUUCCACUGAGAAUUGUAUAUAUAUAUUUUUCUCUAGCCGUCGUUUGCUACUCUACUGAUUUUUCUUCAAACUAAAUAUUGAAUUAUGAACCAACAAUCAAACUAGGAACUACUGUUAAUUUGAUGGUCCCUAGUGUAUAAUUAACUACCUGAUUAUCUUAAUAACCAUUAUAUUUGAUAUGACUGACGUAUAAGAAUAGAGGUGCGUGGAUUCACUAUAAUGCUGGAUUAUAUAUUAUGAUAGUGUUUAUGCAUAUUCUUUCGGUUGAUAAAUUGGCUGUGUCCUUGUCAUGGUUCACCUACCUGUGGAUUUCAGAAUAUAGGUUCCUUUUCAAUGAAAUAUUAUUGAUGCCAUUCUUUCUUUGUUGGCACCACCAACCGCUGAUCAGUUGAUUUGUUACACUAGGCAUGUUAAGUUUUGUAGCCUUCUAAGCAAUCUUUCUUGCUAUCAUAAGACUGCAACAAAAGAAGUUGUGAGGACAAAAAUUGCCAGAUAAUUCAUAAUAUAUCAAGAUCUUGAUAAUAUGAUUUUGCAAUCGUUAGUGGAACAUGUUCUUUGAAGAAUAAGUUGCAUUUUGCAAUUUUUCUGUUGGCUUCUACAUCUUACUUUGAGUCGCUCAUUGGUUUGCUCCUUACUAUAACAGACUUCCUGAAAGUUUUAAUGGGUGCAUCAGUGGUCCUCUAUAUAAUUUCUUCUCUAAUGCAUUAGAUACAUGUGAUUUGUGCUUCAUAGAGCAGAGUGGCUCAAGUGGCUUCUUGUUGUAAGUUCAUCUCCUAUGGUGGACGGUGGACCAAAUGAGGAUAUUUCACGACAAGCCUAUCGCGGUUGGCAUGCUAAGCGAGUUGGGAUUCAAUGGACCAGCAUUAUCAGAGGAUCUAAUCAUUGAAGUCUGCAGAUGUGGAGGGGCAGAGCUCUAUCCAUUUGCAAACAAUUUGUCCUAUCGAACAGAACAGUCAUUCAAUGGAAUCGAUCAGAUGUCACAGGUAUCGGUCUUACAGUUGCUAGCUUCAAGGAAAGGUGGGAUUCUUCUCAUGAACACAGAUGACAGAGUAUGAAGAUCAUAUCAACCUUAUAGGUUAGCUCGUCGCUCACAUUCAGUUAUCUGGACAGUUAGAGCAUCCGAGCGUGACUCCACUAGUUAUCGUUCGCUAAGUGCGACCAUUGUGCAUGUCAUAUAAUAUGACGGUGUGAUUGAGAGAUGGGAGUUCGUAUCUGUGCUGGUGCAUCAAUUGAUAAAGGGUCAGGAUUAGUAAGACGGGGAGCAUCAUUUGUCAGGCUUAUAUAAAUUUAUGGUCGACUGCUACUCUGUGAAACUGGCCAUGAUAGAAAUAGUAUGGUAGCAACGGCAUCACCAGGCAUCACCGCUGUCACAAACUUGUUGUGAGUAGCUUACUGGAGGUCGCAGGCUUUUGAGUCAUUAGGUAUCUCAUGAUCAUGUUUUUGUGAUGCACGAGUAUUGUUCUAUUUCUUUAACUUUGAUGGAUGAGGCCAUAUGCAGAUAAGUUUUCACAUACUGUAUGUAGCAGGGGAGCCACUGCUCGUCGACUAUCUAUUAUGAUAUAUCAUGUCAUGGACUCGGUUUGGUAGACCGACAGAUCCAAAGGGAAACGCUCGACUACUUGUGUCUCUACCUUCCUAUCCUUCCUACUUGCUGUCUAAGAUAUCGAGCCAUGUAAGCCAAGCUUUCAAAUCAUGCUAUGCAACUCAUGUAUGACUGCAGCAAUCUGUGUUCGGGAUUUAAUGGUUUAAACAUAUCUAACAUUUUUGUAUCAUGUAUGUAUA